GUUCGGAUUGCAGGCUGCAACCCGCCUGCAUGAAGCCGGAAUCGCUAGUAAUCGCGGAUCAGAAUGCCGCGGUGAAUACGUUCCCGGGUCUUGUACACACCGCCCGUCACACCAUGGGAGCCGGGAAUGCCCGAAGUCAGUGGCCCAACCGAAAGGGGGAGCUGCCGAAGGCAGGCCUGGUGACUGGGGUGAAGUCGUAACAAGGUAAC
rnacentral:rRNA from 1 species